CCCCUCUCAGGGUCACACCUGGAGAGUUUUCAGUACUCCACCAGUCUUGGCUACAGGAGGGAGAGUCAAGCCAGAGGCCUGUCCAUUCCAUUCCUAGCUUGGGCAGUGGCUAGCGAAUGGAAGGCAAUCUGCUACAAGA